UCAGUUCAAAGGCAAACCUAUUGAAAGAUAGGGACGCAAAGUCACAGAUCUACAGUGGUUCUAUACACACUAAGAUGGCUGGGCUGCCUGG
rnacentral:ncRNA from 1 species